rnacentral:rRNA from 1 species
UGCCCUACGGGAGGCAGCAGUGAGGAAUAUUGGUCAAUGGGCUUACGCCUGAACCAGCCAAGUCGCGUGAGGGAAGACUGCCCUAUGGGUUGUAAACCUCUUUUGUCAGGGAGCAAUUGGCGCUACGUGUAGCGUUAUCGAGAGUACCUGAAGAAAAAGCAUCGGCUAACUCCGUGCCAGCAGCCGCGGUAAUACGGAGGAUGCGAGCGUUAUCCGGAUUUACUGGGUGUAAAGGGCGUGUAGCCGGGCUGACAAGUCAGAUGUGAAAUCCGGGGGCUCA